GUGUCAGCCGCCGCGGUAAUACGGAGGGCGCAAGCGUUGUUCGGAAUCACUGGGCGUAAAGCGCGUGUAGGCGGCCGGGCAAGUCGGAUGUGAAAUCCCGAGGCUCAACCUCGGAACUGCAUUCGAAACUGCUCGGCUCGAGUCCCGGAGAGGAUGGCAGAAUUCCCGGUGUAGGGGUGAAAUCCGUAGAUAUCGGGAGGAAUACCAGUGGCGAAGGCGGCCAUCUGGACGGUGACUGACGCUGAGACGCGAAAGCGUGGGGAGCAAACAGGAUUAGAUACCCUGGUAGUCCACGCCGUAAACGGUGAGUGCUAGACGUCGCGGGUAUUGACCCCCGCGGUGUCGAAGCUAACGCGUUAAGCACUCCGCCUGGGGAGUACGGCCGCAAGGCUAAA
rnacentral:rRNA from 1 species